UCAUCUUCGGGGGUAGAGCACUGUUUCGGCUAGGGGGUCAUCCCGACUUACCAACCCGAUGCAAACUACGAAUACCGAAGAAUGUUAUCACGGGAGACACACGGCGGGUGCUAACGUCCGUCGUGAAGAGGGAAACAACCCAGACCGCCAGCUAAGGUCCCAAAGUCAUGGUUAAGUGGGAAACGAUGUGGGAAGGCACAGACAGCCAGGAUGUUGGCUUAGAAGCAGCCAUCAUUUAAAGAAAGCGUAAUAGCUCACUGGUCGAGUCGGCCUGCGCGGAAGAUGUAACGGGGCUAAACCAUGCACCGAAGCUGCGGCAGCGACACUAUGUGUUGUUGGGUAGGGGAGCGUUCUGUAAGCCGUUGAAGGUGGCCUGUGAGGGUUGCUGGAGGUAUCAGAAGUGCGAAUGCUGACAUAAGUAACGAUAAAGCGGGUGAAAAGCCCGCUCGCCGGAAGACCAAGGGUUCCUGUCCAACGUUAAUCGGGGCAGGGUGAGUCGACCCCUAAGGCGAGGCCGAAAGGCGUAGUCGAUGGGAAACAGGUUAAUAUUCCUGUACUCGGUGUUACUGCGAAGGGGGGACGGAGAAGGCUAUGUUAGCCGGGCGACGGUUGUCCCGGUUUAAGCAUGUAGGCGGGAAGUUUAGGUAAAUCCGGACUUCUUUUAACGCUGAGGUGUGA
rnacentral:rRNA from 1 species